rnacentral:lncRNA from 1 species
AUUUGGAGACCCUUGACAUAUGCAUGAAGUAGUCAAAAUUAGAUAGUCUAAAUAAAAUUAAAUUAGAUAUAUUUUUGAUCACUUAAUGCAUAGGUUAGGGAUCUUUAAAUUAUAUGACUUUUGGUGUGCAAGCAGUUUUGAAAUAUUAGAUCAUAUUUAAUAGUUUCGAUCAUCGAUGUAGGACUCUAUUGUUAAGUUUUGACUUGACC